rnacentral:rRNA from 1 species
GAUGAACGCUGGCGGCGUGCCUAAUACAUGCAAGUCGAGCGAACGGACGAGAAGCUUGCUUCUCUGAUGUUAGCGGCGGACGGGUGAGUAACACGUGGAUAACCUACCUAUAGGACUGGGAUAACUUCGGGAAACCGGAGCUAAUACCGGAUAAUAUUUUGAACCGCAUGGUUCAAAAGUGAAAGACGGUCUUGCUGUCACUUAUAGAUGGAUCCGCGCUGCAUUAGCUAGUUGGUAAGGUAACGGCUUACCAAGGCAACGAUGCAUAGCCGACCUGAGAGGGUGAUCGGCCACACUGGAACUGAGACACGGUCCAGACUCCUACGGGAGGCAGCAGUAGGGAAUCUUCCGCAAUGGGCGAAAGCCUGACGGAGCAACGCCGCGUGAGUGAUGAAGGUCUUCGGAUCGUAAAACUCUGUUAUUGGGGAAGAACAUAUGUGUAAGUAACUGUGCACAUCUUGACGGUACCUAAUCAGAAAGCCACGGCUAACUACGUG